CUUAAUGAUACAUAUAUAUUAAGUCUGGCCUGCUCAAUGAUUGAAUAAUUAAAUAGCCGCAGUAUUUUGACUGUGCGAAGGUAGCAUAAUCAUUUGUCUUUUAAUUGAAGGCUUGUAUGAAGGGUCGGAUGAGGGAUUGACUUUCUUUGUAUUAUUUAUAUGAAUUUAAUUUUUAGGUUAAAAAGCUUAAAUGAUUAAAUGGGACGAGAAGACCCUAUAGAAUUUUAUUUUUACUAUUAUAAUUUAUUUUAUUGGUUAAUUUUUUAUUUAUAAUAGUAUGGAUUUUGUUGGGGCGAUGGUAAGAUUUUUUUAACUCUUAUAAUUUAUGAAUUACUUAUUUGUAUAUUUAAGAUCCUAUUUUAUGGAUAAUUAGAUUAAAUUACCUUAGGGAUAACAGCGUAAUUUUUCUGGAGAGUUCUUAUCAAUAGAGAAGUUUGCGACCUCGAUGUUGGAUUAAAAUAAGAUUUAAGUGCAGAAGCUUAAUUUCUAGGUCUGUUCGACCUUUAAAUUUUUACA
rnacentral:rRNA from 1 species